CGGGUGAGUAAUGCUUGGGAACUUGCCUUUAGGUGGGGGAUAACAGUUGGAAACGACUGCUAAUGCCGCAUAAUGUCUACGGACCAAAGGGGGCUUAGGCUCCCGCCUUGAGAGAGGCCCAAGUGAGAUUAGCUAGUUGGUGGGGUAAAGGCCUACCAAGGCAACGAUCUCUAGCUGUUCUGAGAGGAAGAUCAGCCACACUGGGACUGAGACACGGCCCAGACUCCUACGGGAGGCAGCAGUGGGGAAUAUUGCACAAUGGGGGAAACCCUGAUGCAGCCAUGCCGCGUGUGUGAAGAAGGCCUUCGGGUUGUAAAGCACUUUCAGUUGUGAGGAAAGGUUGGUAGUUAAUACCUGCCAGCUGUGACGUUAACAACAGAAGAAGCACCGGCUAACUCCGUGCCAGCAGCCGCGGUAAUACGGAGGGUGCGAGCGUUAAUCGGAAUUACUGGGCGUAAAGCGCACGCAGGCGGCUUGUUAAGCUAGAGGUGAAAGCCCCGCGCUCAACGUGGGAACUGCCUUUAGAACUGGCAGGCUAGAGUCUUGGAGA
rnacentral:rRNA from 1 species